rnacentral:rRNA from 1 species
CCCUUAGAGUUUGAUCCUGGCUCAGGACGAACGCUGGCGGCGCGCCUAACACAUGCAAGUCGAACGAGCGAGAGGAGGUUUACUUUCUCAAGCGAGUGGCGAACGGGUGAGUAACGCGUGAGGAACCUGCCUCAAAGAGGGGGACAACAGUUGGAAACGACUGCUAAUACCGCAUAAGCCCACGACCCGGCAUCGGGUAGAGGGAAAAGGAGCAAUCCGCUUUGAGAUGGCCUCGCGUCCGAUUAGCUAGUUGGUGAGGUAAUGGCCCACCAAGGCGACGAUCGGUAGCCGGACUGAGAGGUUGAACGGCCACAUUGGGACUGAGACACGGCCCAGACUCCUACGGGAGGCAGCAGUGGGGAAUAUUGCACAAUGGGGGAAACCCUGAUGCAGCGACGCCGCGUGGAGGAAGAAGGUCUUCGGAUUGUAAACUCCUGUUGUUGAGGAA